UACGAAGGGGGCUAGCGUUGUUCGGAAUCACUGGGCGUAAAGAGCACAUAGGCGGACUUGUUAGUCAGGGGUGAAAUCCCGGGGCUCAACCCCGGAACUGCCUUUGAAACUGCAAGUCUUGAGUCCGAGAGAGGUGAGUGGAAUUCCUAGUGUAGAGGUGAAAUUCGUAGAUAUUAGGAAGAACACCAGUGGCCAAGGCGGCUAACUGGUUCGGAACUGACGCUGAGGUGCGAAAGCGUGGGGAGCAAACAGG
rnacentral:misc_RNA from 1 species